UCCGUUACCCGUACGAUCACCGAAGUUAAGCAACAUCGAGCCUGGUCAGUAUCUAGAUUGGUGACCGCUUGAGAAUGCCAGGUGCUGUAAG